rnacentral:rRNA from 1 species
UUUGUAAUAAAGAAAAUAAAGAGUACUGCCUGCCCAGUGAUUAAAAAUUCAACGGCCGCGGUACCUUGMCCGUGCAAAGGUAGCAUAAUAAUUUGCUCUUUAAUUGAGGGGUAGUAUGAAAGGCAAGACGAAGACUUAACUGUCUCCUUAUUAAAAAAAGAAAUUAAUAUUUUAGUGAAGAAGCUAAAAUAAAAACGUAAGACGAGAAGACCCUGUCGAGCUUAAGAAAAUCUUUUAUAUUAUGAAAAAUAAAGCUAAUAAAUUAAAAAUACUAAACAAAUAAUAAUAAAAAUAUCUUUGGUUGGGGCAACCACGAAGAAAAAAAAACCUUCGAUUUAUUUAAAUAAAAUAAACAAAUUCAAAAGUUUUAAAUAAAACUAAUAAAGAUCCGGAAAAUACCGAACAAAGAAAAAAGUUACCGCAGGGAUAACAGCGUUAUUCUCUUUAAGAGCUCGUAUUGACAAGAGAGUUUGCGACCUCGAUGUUGGACCGGGGCACCCAAGAGAUGCAGAAGUCUCUAAAGGUAGGUCUGUUCGACCUUUAAAGCCCUACGUGA